rnacentral:lncRNA from 1 species
GAUAAGGUAAAAGGUGGAUCAUGCUAUGGAGCUGGAACUUAUGCUGCAGAUGGAUCUCGUCAGCCCACUGAACUGGAAUUUCAACAGGCCUUUCAUCAGGGAAAAUAUAUUGCUGAAAUUACAAAAAGACUCGGUAAUUAGUCACAGAACCAAAGAGCAAAGAGAAAUAAAACAUAAUUGAGCAAUCUAUGACUGAAAUGGAAAAGAGUACAUGAUUGUAAAAGCCUUUAAAGCUGUAAGAACAGGUUGAAUGUACCAUCAGUUAUCCUCUUGCUUUGCUUAUAUUCUGUUAUUCAUUCUCUUAUCGUUGAAAUAUGUGAGCAGCAAGGGUUUACAGCACUAACACAAU